rnacentral:rRNA from 1 species
UACGAAGGGUGCUAGCGUUGUUCGGAAUCACUGGGCGUAAAGCGCGCGUAGGCGGCUAUUCAAGUCAGGGGUGAAAUCCCACAGCUCAACUGUGGAACUGCCUUUGAAACUGUAUAGCUAGAGUGUCGGAGGGGAUAGCGGAAUUGCUAAUGUAGAGGUGAAAUUCGUAGAUAUUAGCAGGAACACCGGUGGCGAAGGCGGCUAUCUGGACGACAACUGACGCUGAGGCGCGAAAGCGCGGGGAUCAAACAGG